AUGGGGCUUAAAUAUACACUCUUAGCAGACACAGAGGAAGAUCCCUUGGACUUUGAACGUAGAAACAUGGGGCUUAAAUAUACACUCUUAGUAAACACAGAGGAAGAUCCCUUGGACUUUGAACGUAGCUCUGCACAAGACUUGCAGCAAACCACCAUAUCCAUCACCAAGCCAGAAGGCAAAAACGUGCAAAUCAACUGCCAUGUCUCCAGUCCUGAUUUUAUCAACACUCUUAUUCACUGGUACCAAAAGAAGGGCAAUGAAGCUCCCAAACGUGUUGCCUACAUAUCCUCCACGUUUUUCCUUGAAAAUCGGAAUGAUGAGGGGAAGUUUAGUGUUGCCAAGGAUCUCAGCAAAUCUGUCUGCAUCCUGACAGUGAGCAAAAUAACGCCACAAGACUCUGCCACCUACUACUGUGCCAUUUGGGAUGCACAGCAGUAG